GAUGAACGCUGGCGGCGUGCCUAAUACAUGCAAGUCGAGCGAACGGACGAGAAGCUUGCUUCUCUGAUGUUAGCGGCGGACGGGUGAGUAACACGUGGAUAACCUACCUAUAAGACUGGGAUAACUUCGGGAAACCGGAGCUAAUACCGGAUAAUAUUUUGAACCGCAUGGUUCAAAAGUGAAAGACGGUCUUGCUGUCACUUAUAGAUGGAUCCGCGCUGCAUUAGCUAGUUGGUAAGGUAACGGCUUACCAAGGCAACGAUGCAUAGCCGACCUGAGAGGGUGAUCGGCCACACUGGAACUGAGACACGGUCCAGACUCCUACGGGAGGCAGCAGUAGGGAAUCUUCCGCAAUGGGCGAAAGCCUGACGGAGCAACGCCGCGUGAGUGAUGAAGGUCCUCGGAUCGUAAAACUCUGUUAUUAGGGAAGAACAUAUGUGUAAGUAACUGUGCACAUCUUGACGGUACCUAAUCAAAAAGCCACGGCUAACUACGUG
rnacentral:rRNA from 1 species